UUUCCGGCAAUUUGAUAUAACAAAGAAAAAUAUAUGAAAAACACAUCAGAACAGAAAUUGAGUGAACCACAAUAAUCUACAGGAAUUGAUUUGCAACAGUGACAAACAUUAAAAAUUUAAAGAGCAUAGCAGAAAAUUUAAAGUAACCACGGAAGAGUUUGGCAAUCAAAAGUUCUGAGCAGUGAUAAGAGAAACACCAGCCAUGAAUCGAACAACAGCAAUAUUUGGUCUCUUUCUCAUAUUUGUGGCGAUGCAUGAACUGGAAGGCUUUACCGCUGGUAUUGGCAAUGCGGGACUCGGAAAACGUGACUACGUUUCAAAGGCUCGGAGGGAACUACAGGUGGUCUGCCGUUACAUAAGAAGCGUAGCUGUUCACAAGAGGUCUGGGGAAAUAGAACGUCAAACACCACUCCAAAUAAGGGAAAUAUGCGCACUGUGACAUCACCGACUAAAAAUGUUUGGCAAAAGCAGAUUAUGUACAUUAUAAAUGGAUCAAAACGCUUCUUUUUUUAAGUUAAUUUGUCUAAAAUAAAGCAAAAAGACUAUGUUAAGUAUCGUGA